UCAUGGCAUCAGAUGGCACGAGGGGCGGGGGCGAGCGAGUUCAGGAGCAGUGAGGCGUGGCUGGGUGUGCGCGCACGCGUGUGUGGGAAGGGGCCAGCCACUGCCUCUUCUCCUCAAGGAGCCCUCGAAUGUGUACUAAACGUCCCCCGGCCAGCAAUCUCUUGCAGCGAAGCUCCCACCUCUGCUUCUGGUUCUCCCCAUCAAGGUGUGUUAUGGAAGAAGAAUACGAGGUUCUACAGAAAGAUUGGUCCCAGAUCUUGAAACUCUAGCAGGUUCAAGGAGAGCAUCUGAUGGUUCUUCUCGCAAUUCCUCUUUUGUCUCAGUCGUAAAGCUGUAGCUUACCGAUGAUUGUGACGGGUGCACAAAGAC